UACAGAGGGGGCGAGCGUUGUUCGGAAUUACUGGGCGUAAAGGGCGCGUAGGCGGCCUUCUAAGUCGAACGUGAAAUCCCCGGGCUCAACCCGGGAACUGCGUCCGAUACUGGGAGGCUUGAAUCCGGGAGAGGGAUGUGGAAUUCCAGGUGUAGCGGUGAAAUGCGCAGAUAUCAGGAGGAACACCAAUGGCGAAGGCAGCUCGCUGGGACGGUACUGACGCUGAGACGCGAAAGCGUGGGGAGCAAACAGG
rnacentral:rRNA from 1 species